CGGCGAGUAGCGCAGCUGGUAGCGCAACUGGUUUGGGACCAGUGGGUCGGAGGUUCGAAUCCUCUCUCGCCGACCA
rnacentral:tRNA from 1 species